GUAAUCGGAAGUCUACUGGACGAAUGCGGGAACGUUGCGAUAUUUCCUGCUUAAUAUUUUCAGAUAUGGGAAAAGCACUUAAGAUGACCCCACGUUUCAGGAACGUUAAAAUUAAGUUGGUGAGGAGGUCUAUGGUGGGCCCUGCAAGUUUUCUUACCUCAGUCAAGGUCUUCCCCAUCCCAGCUACAAACAGACCCACCCUUCAGACCCUCCUAUUACAUCUCAACCUGCUGAACCUGAUGAUGCGACGCCGAGCUGUUCUGAGAGUGCAUACAGUAAGGCAAAGAAGAGAGAGCUUCAUGCCUGGGAUGCAGUCAAGGAUGAGAUGCUUAAGGUGUCGUUUGAAUGUUCAGCACCGAUCACUACCCAGUGUGCUGUCUGCCGAGAACAUGCUGAUUAUAGGUGCAUUGAGUGCAGCUCCACUGCAGUGUUCUGUGAGGUUUGCCUGAAGAGGAUUCACAGAAAUUCACUGCAUCUUCCUGAAAAGUGGAACAGUGUUUACUAUGAGCCAUCCUCCCUGGGGUUAUUCCUAUAUUUACCUGAAGCCCAUGGCACCCAUGCUGUGA